CUCAAGGUGAAUAUGUUUGUUUACCAUGUAUUGACAAUGGAGAUUAUUGAUGGGUAAUAUAUGAUGGUUCAGGAGGUCGAACUGAUGCGAGACAAUGUAAGAGAGAAAGAGAAAGAGCACGAUAUGCGGCGAUGAGUGUUGAAAAAAAAACGAAUUGAAGAACCGUCGUCAGUCACGCAAAAAAGAGAACGUUGUUCACCAUGAGUAUUCAAAAGAUGAUUGUCCAGAUGUGGCUAUAGGCGACGGAAGCAUCAUUGAUUGUACUAUACCGUGUGGUAUCACUCUAGGUGGAUGUGAUGAUGCGAGACAACGUAAGAGGGAAAGAGAAAGAGCACGAUACGCCACGAUGAGUGAUGAAAAGAAAAAUGAAUUGAAGAGGCGUCGUCAGUCAAGCAAAAAUGAAAAUGUUG